AGGCAAUAACAGGUCUGUGAUGCCCUUAGAUGUUUUGGGCCGCACGCGCGCUACACUGAUCAAGUCAACGAGUUUACAACCUUGGCCGGAAGGUCUGGGUAAUCUUGUGAAACUUGAUCGUGCUGGGGAUAGUCCAUUGCAAUUAUUGGUCUUCAACGAGGAAUUCCUAGUAAGCGUGAGUCAUCAGCUCGCGUUGAUUACGUCCCUGCCCUUUGUACACACCGCCCGUCGCUACUACCGAUUGAAUGGCUUAGUGAG
rnacentral:rRNA from 1 species